GACGAACGCUGGCGGCGUGCUUAACACAUGCAAGUCGUACGAUGAUCCGGCUCUUCGGAGCUGGUGAUUAGUGGCGAACGGGUGAGUAACACGUGGGUGACCUGCCCUGCACUCUGGGAUAAGCCCGGGAAACUGGGUCUAAUACUGGAUACGACCAGUGGCCGCAUGGUCUGCUGGUGGAAAGCCCUUCGGGGUGGUGUGGGAUGGGCCCGCGGCCUAUCAGCUUGUUGGUGGGGUGAUGGCCUACCAAGGCGACGACGGGUAGCCGGCCUGAGAGGGUGUCCGGCCACACUGGGACUGAGACACGGCCCAGACUCCUACGGGAGGCAGCAGUGGGGAAUCUUGCACAAUGGGCGAAAGCCUGAUGCAGCGACGCCGCGUGAGGGAUGACGGCCUUCGGGUGGUAAACCUCUUUCGGCAGGGAACAAGCCUGGGGGUUGUCUUCUGGGUGAGGGUACCUGCGGAAGAAGCACCGGCUAACUACGUG
rnacentral:rRNA from 1 species